UACGUAGGUGGCAAGCGUUGUCCGGAAUUAUUGGGCGUAAAGCGCGCGCAGGCGGUUUCUUAAGUCUGAUGUGAAAGCCCCCGGCUCAACCGGGGAGGGUCAUUGGAAACUGGGAACUUGAGUGCAGAAGAGAAGAGCGGAAUUCCACGUGUAGCGGUGAAAUGCGUAGAGAUGUGGAGGAACACCAGUGGCGAAGGCGGCUCUUUGGUCUGUAACUGACGCUGAGGCGCGAAAGCGUGGGGAGCAAACAGG
rnacentral:rRNA from 1 species